rnacentral:tRNA from 1 species
AGACAGGAAGCUAUACGAGCAGUUAGCUGUUACCUAACUAAAAGUGGAACUUAUCCACCCUCUCUA